AGAGUUUGAUCCUGGCUCAGAGCGAACGCUGGCGGCGUGCUUAACACAUGCAAGUCGAGUGCGCGGUGCUGUAGCAAUACAGUACUGGCGCACGGCGCACGGGUGCGUAACACGUGGGGUAAUCUGCCCUCUGAUGGGGAAUAACCCCCGCGAAAGCGGGGCUAAUUCCGCAUAACAUUCCUUGGACUUUGGUUCGAGGGAUUCAAAAGGCGUAAGUCGUCGGAGGAGGAGCCCGCGCACGAUUAGCUAGUUGGUAGGGGUAAUGGCCUACCAAGGCUUUGAUCGUUAGCUGGUCUGAGAGGAUGGCCAGCCACACUGGAACUGAGACACGGUCCAGACUCCUACGGGAGGCAGCAGUGGGGAAUCUUGCACAAUGGGCGAAAGCCUGAUGCAGCGACGCCGCGUGGGGGAUGAAGCAUCUCGGUGUGUAAACCCCUUUCGACCCGGACGAAAGCCUCGCAAGAGGACUGACGGUACGGGUAUAAGAAGCCCCGGCUAACUACGUGCCAGCAGCCGCGGUAAGACGUAGGGGGCCAGCGUUGCUCGGAAUUACUGGGUGUAAAGGGUUCGUAGGCGGUGCGGCAAGUUGGGAGUGAAAUCUCUGGGCUUAACCCAGAGGCUGCUUCCAAAACUGCUGUGCUCGAGUGUGGGAGAGGCGCGUGGAAUUGCAGGUGUAGCGGUGAAAUGCGUAGAUAUCUGCAGGAACACCCGUGGCGAAAGCGGCGCGCUGGACCACUACUGACGCUGAGGAACGAAAGCUAGGGGAGCAAACAGGAUUAGAUACCCUAGUAGUCC
rnacentral:rRNA from 1 species